GACGAACGCUGGCGGCGUGCUUAACACAUGCAAGUCGAACGAUGAACCUCGAAUUGAUUUCUUCGGAAGGAUUUUUGAGAGGAUUAGUGGCGAACGGGUGAGUAACGCGUGAGCAACCUGCCCUAGACAAGGGGAUAGCCUCGGGAAACCGUGAUUAAUACCCUAUGAGACUCCACUUACGAGUGUAAGAGAAGUUAAAGCAUUAGCGGUCUAAGAUGGGCUCGCGUCUGAUUAGCUAGUUGGUGAGAUAAAGCCACCAAGGCGACGAUCAGUAACCGGCUUGAGAGAGUGAACGGUCACAUUGGAACUGAGACACGGGUCCAAACUCCUACGGGAGGCAGCAGUGGGGAAUAUUGCACAAUGGGGGAAACCCUGAUGCAGCGACGCCGCGUGAGCGAUGAAGGAAUUCG
rnacentral:rRNA from 1 species